rfam:Asian citrus Psyllid, Diaphorina citri - Florida Strain, whole genome shotgun sequence.
GCCAGCGGUGACAGCACAUUGGAUGCACCAGAGCUCAAUAGAUCUCAAAAGUUAAUUAACGUUGCGCGUGGUUGAUAUUUGGAUAGGUGACCUUCAGGACAAUCGCGUGUUGUCGCCU